AAGGCAUCAUAAAUAGUUCUGCACUUUCUCAAUGGGAUAAGAAGAGACCUACAACAUAGAAUUUCCUGGCACUCCAACAAGUGAAGAGAAACUGAUUUGAAGAAUGGGUGUUUCAUCAAAUUUGAUUCGUUUUUCGUGGUGUAUGUAUUACUUCGUCUCUGUUCCAAAUAAACAUUAGGACAAGCAACCACCAGUACAUACACAAGUUUAUAGUAGUUCCAGGCAG